UACGUAGGAGGCAAGCGUUGUCCGGAAUUACUGGGCGUAAAGCGCGUGUAGGCGGGAAGCUCAGUCUGUGGUGAAAGCGCCUGGCUUAACCGGGCGAGGUCCAUGGAAACUAGCUACCUAGAGGCCGGUAGAGGGGGGUGGAAUUCCGGGUGUAGUGGUGAAAUGCGUAGAGAUCCGGAGGAACACCAGUGGCGAAGGCGGCCCCCUGGGCCGCGCCUGACGCUGAGACGCGAAAGCGCGGGGAGCGAACGGG
rnacentral:rRNA from 1 species